UCGAGAAUUUUUCUCAAUGGGGGCAACCCUGAAGGAGCGACGCCGCGUGGAGGAUGAAGGCUUUCGGGUUGUAAACUCCUGUCAUUUGAGAACAAGGUGCACCGGUUAACUGCCGGUGCAUUGAUAGUAUCAGAAGAGGAAGGGACGGCUAACUCUGUGCCAGCAGCCGCGGUAAUACAGAGGUCCCAAGCGUUGUUCGGAUUCAUUGGGCGUAAAGGGUGCGUAGGUGGCGCCGUAAGUCGGGUGUGAAAUUUCGGAGCUUAACUCCGAAACUGCAUUCGAUACUGCGGUGCUUGAGGACUGGAGAGGAGACUGGAAUUCAUGGUGUAGCAGUGAAAUGCGUAGAGAUCAUGAGGAAGACCAGUGGCGAAGGCGGGUCUCUGGACAGUUCCUGACACUGAGGCACGAAGGCCAGGGGAGCAAACGG
rnacentral:rRNA from 1 species